CCACCUUAGGCAUUAUGCACCACAACAAGCAGGCCACUGAAAAUGCCAAAGAGGAGGUGAAGCGAAUCUUGGGGCUGCUGGACACUCAUCUGAAGACACGGACUUUUCUGGUUGGUGAGAGAGUAACACUGGCUGACAUCACGGUUGUCUGUACCCUAUUGUGGCUCUAUAAACAGGUAAGGUUUGUGUCCCAUUUGACAGGGGUAGACCUGUACUGGGGUACCCGGUUCCACUUAGGACAGACCAGUUAAUGGCUGUAGGAAUCCCAGCAUUGAGAACUGUGACUGUUUUCAUCUUUUUUUUUUUUUUUUUCUUUUGGUUCUUUUUUUCGGAGCUGGGGACCGAACCCAGGGUAUUUUCAUCUUAUUGAAGAUGGGUGAAAGGCUGGAUGUGGUGGCUUAUAUUUGUCAUCCCAGCACUUGAGAUGCUGAGACAGGAGGACUGCUCUGGUAUAACUGUAGGCUGUGUAGUGAUAUCAGAAAUAAAAAGCAAGAUGGAAGCUGGGAGAGGCAGGGACGGUGACUCAGCAGCCUUUGGAGGCAGACUCAGGUCUGUGUCCUGGCUUCACUGCAGAUGCAGUGGGACAGGAAUCCUCAUAGCUCUGCUUAUCUGUGACACAUUCAAGGUGAUAUUCGGCUUAGACCUAGCUUUUCCAGCAUUUUUGAGAUUUCCGUUUAUGUGCAUUUGCAUGUAUGUGCACGCUGAUCCCAAGGAGCUUGACUUGUGAGCUACUGUGGGGGCUGCGAAUCAAACCAGGUAACCAUCU
rnacentral:lncRNA from 1 species